rnacentral:lncRNA from 1 species
CCCCCGGGACCCUCAGGGACCCCCUGGGACACCCAGGGACCCCCAAUGAUCCUCCCCGGGACCCCCCCUGGAACCCCAGGACUCCACAGGGACCCCCAGUGACCCCUGCACUGUCCCCAGAGUUGUGUCCGUGUGUCUCACCUGUCUCACCUGUCCCUGUUCCACCUCUGUGUGUGUGUCCUGUGUGUCUGUGUGUCCUGUGUGUGUUCCUGUGUGUCUCACCUGGCUCUGUUCCACCUCUGUGUGUGUGUCCUGUGUGUGUCUGUGUGUCCGUGUGUCUGUGUGUCUCACCUGGCCCUGUUCCACCUGUCUGUGUGUCCAUGUGUCUGUGUGUCCGUGUGUCUCACCUGGCCCUGUUCCACCUGGGUGUCCAUAUCUCACCUGUGUCCGUGUGUCUGUCUGUGUGUCUGUCUGUGU